GACGAACGCUGGCGGCGUGCCUAAUACAUGCAAGUAGAACGCUGAAGAGAGGAGCUUACUCUUCUUGGAUGAGUUGCGAACGGGUGAGUAACGCGUAGGUAACCUGCCUUGUAGCGGGGGAUAACUAUUGGAAACGAUAGCUAAUACCGCAUAACAAUGGAUGACACAUGUCAUUUAUUUGAAAGGGGCAAUUGCUCCACUACAAGAUGGACCUGCGUUGUAUUAGCUAGUAGGUGAGGUAAUGGCUCACCUAGGCGACGAUACAUAGCCGACCUGAGAGGGUGAUCGGCCACCCUGGGACUGAGACACGGCCCAGACUCCUACGGGAGGCAGCAGUAGGGAAUCUUCGGCAAUGGGGGCAACCCUGACCGAGCAACGCCGCGUGAGUGAAGAAGGUUUUCGGAUCGUAAAGCUCUGUUGUAAGUCAAGAACGGGUGUGGGAGUGGAAAGUUCACACUGUGACGGUAGCUUACCAGAAAGGGACGGCUAACUACGUG
rnacentral:rRNA from 1 species